AUGCCUCUCCACAGCCUGCUCUCUGUGUUGGUGGCCUUGGCCUUCUCUGGAUCCAGUUUGGGCCAGGAAGUGACUCAGCUCCAAUCAGCCGUAAGCACGCAGGAGGGACAAGAAGUCACCAUAGACUGUUCAUAUGAGACAAGUCGGAGCUUAUACUAUCUUUUUUGGUACAAGCAGCAUUUUAGUGGAGAAAUGAUUUUUCUUCUCAGCCAAAUGUCUUAUUCUACUCGGACUGAGAAGAGCAACCGCUACUCUGUCACCUUCCAGAGAUCAGCCAAGUCCAUCAGCCUUGUCAUUUCAGCCUCGCAGGUGGAAGAUUCAGGGAAGUAUUUCUGUGCACUCUGGGAACAGACUCACAGUGUUUGA